GGCAGUGGUGGCUUAGUGGUUAAGGCUCUGGAUUACUGAUCAGGAGUUCAAACCCCAGCACUGCCA